rnacentral:rRNA from 1 species
AUACGUAGGUGACAAGCGUUAUCCGGAUUUACUGGGCGUAAAGGGCGUGUAGGCGGUCUUGCAAGUCAGAAGUGAAAUUCCUGAGCUCAACUCGGGCGCUGCUUCUGAAACUGCAGGACUUGAGUGCUGGAGGGGAUAGCGGAAUUCCUAGUGGAGCGGUAAAAUGCGCAGAUAUUAGGAAGAACACCGGUGGCGAAGGCGGCUAUCUGGACAGUAACUGACGCUGAGGCGCGAAAGCGUGGGGAGCAAACAGGAUUAGAUACCCUGGUAGUCCGCGCCGUAAACGAUGAAUACUAGGUGUAGGGGGUAUCGACUCCCUCUGUGCCGCAGUUAACACAAUAAGUAUUCCGCCUGGGGAGUACGGCCGCAAGGUUGAAACUUAAAUGAAUUGGCGGGG